rnacentral:lncRNA from 1 species
CAGCCACAGAACAGACACUUUCCCGGCUAUGCAGGGCUGGGCGUUGGGGUGGGGGGCUCACCUGGACCCUCCAAGGCAUCAGACUGUCCAACUGCUCAGUUUUCACAGGGACAAGAGCCUUGCUGAGGGUGAAGGGGGCUGCGAGUGCCCAGCAGGGCAGCCUGGGCAGGUUCUGCCUCCCACAGCUGUCCCACUCUCCGGAGCUGCCUCGGUGGCAGAUGGCGCUGUCCUGAAAGGAUCCGCUGAAAUGACAGGGCAUGAGGCAGAGAGGCCGAGUGCUGACUACGGGGAGCUGAGAAGCUACUCCAGGGCAGUCAUGGCUGGCGGGAGGACCUCACUCAGGGUGGGGCCACAGGCAUCUUGGGGGACCACAGUCUUCUCUUCCAUAUCAACUGGAGGCCAGGGAGCUGCUGGACCCCUAGGAGCCAGGUCCAACGGAUAGGGCUUCCUGGCUGCAGAGUUGCGGGGACUCAGAGGGGAAUGCUGACCAUAGAGGUGGACAGCCUCCGUCCUGCUGGGCCCGCCCUGACCUGGCAUCCACUGUCCACAUCCCUCCAUCUGCCCACCCCCAACCCUGGACAACAACCAGCACAGUGCAGCAUGGCCCUGCAGUGACACCAGCAGCAGAGAGGUCAGACCCAGCAUCCCCCAGCUCCUAAAGGGCCAGCAGGUCCCGGGAGCUGGGGGCAGGGCCUGGCUGUGGGGCCUCCAUGUCCUGGGGGCCAGGGAAGACCCUCCUUAGUCGGCAACCCCUGCAGACACAUCCCCUGGCCAGCACUUGGGGACCUCCCUGCCCCCGCCCCAUCCCCCUACCUUGCCUGCUGAGACACAGGGCUCCACGCGUCUCUCUCCUGGGUGGGGUGACUGUGACCUGACCUGUGAGGGGCCCUCAUCGUGUUGGGUUUUCCUGCCAGAAGCAGAAACCACAAAAUUACCUGGAACAUACACAGCCCCAAGUGACAGAUUCAAUUCAAUUCCACAAAUAUUGACCUCACGUCUAAUCCACUCGUCCUCUGGUGUCAGCUCCUUCCUGAGGGGCCCAGCCUGGCAGCCACAGAUCCCGUUUAAUUCCAGCCUGACAAUGUCACCAGCUCAUGGAACGGGAGCUGGGCUCAUCGAGGCCCUGGCAGGUGGGGCCAGAGCUGGGCUCUGAACUCUAUACCCACACCUACCACCAUGGAAAGUGCCAGGAAGCGGGGUGGGCAGGCAUGGUCAGCUGAGGGUCCAAGCCUGCCCCAGCGCACCAGGUGCCCGCCCUGGCUGCCUGACUUGGCAGCUAAUCUCUGUGGGGCCCUGGAGCUACAUGGUGACUUCAGCACAGGGACAUUUAUCAGAAAUGGAACUGAUGGAUUAAAGUGGAACCAGGUGAA